GCGGACAUGGCUCAGUUGGUAGAGCACAACCUUGCCAAGGUUGGGGUCGCGGGUU
rnacentral:tRNA from 1 species